UACGGGGGGGGGCAAGCGUUGUUCGGAAUUACUGGGCGUAAAGGGCUCGUAGGCGGCCAACUAAGUCGGACGUGAAAUCCCCAGGCUCAACCUGGGAACUGCGUCUGAUACUGGAUGGCUUGAAUCCGGGAGAGGGAUGCAGAAUUCCGAGGUGUAGCGGUGAAAUGCGUAGAUAUCUGGAGGAAUACCGGUGGCGAAGGCGGCAUCCUGGACCGGCAUUGACGCUGAGGAGCGAAAGCCAGGGGAGCAAAGCG
rnacentral:rRNA from 1 species